rnacentral:rRNA from 1 species
AACGAACGCUGGCGGUGCGUUUUAAGGCAUGCAAGUCGAACGGCAAGAAGGUGCUUGCACUUUCCUAGAGUGGCGGACUGGUGAGUAACGCGUGGGUGAUCUACCUUUAAGAUGGGGAUAGCUUUUAGAAAUAAGAGAUAAUACCGAAUGUGCUUAUUGAAUUAUGAUUUGAUAAGGAAAGGGGCGAAUGCCUCGCUUAAAGAUGAGCCUGCGUCCCAUUAGCUAGUUGGCAAGGUAAAGGCUUACCAAGGCGAUGAUGGGUAUCCGACCUGAGAGGGUGAACGGACACAUUGGGACUGAGAUACGGCCCAAACUCCUACGGGAGGCAGCAGCUGAGAAUCUUCCGCAAUGGACGAAAGUCUGACGGAGCGACACCGCGUGAAUGAUGAAGGCCGGAAGGUUGUAAAGUUCUUUUGCAGACAAAGAAUAAGUGUAGGAGGGAAUGCCUAACAUGAUGACGGUAGUUAUGUGAAUAAGCCCCGGC